CGGCGUGCCUAACACAUGCAAGUCGAACGGAGUAUAUUCGCUGCAGAGAUUUCGGUCGAAGCUUGAGUAUACUUAGUGGCGGACGGGUGAGUAACGCGUGGGCAACCUGCCUCAUACUGGGGGAUAGCAGUUGGAAACGACUGAUAAUACCGCAUAAGCGCACAGCAUCGCAUGAUGCAGUGUGAAAAACUCCGGUGGUAUGAGAUGGGCCCGCGUCAGAUUAGCCAGUUGGCAGGGUAACGGCCUACCAAAGCGACGAUCUGUAGCCGGCCUGAGAGGGCGGACGGCCACAUUGGGACUGAGACACGGCCCAAACUCCUACGGGAGGCAGCAGUGGGGGAUAUUGCACAAUGGAGGAAACUCUGAUGCAGCGACGCCGCGUGAAGUGAAGAAGUAUUUCGGUAUGUAAAGCUCUAUCAGCAGGGAAGAAAGACUCGCAAGAGAGAUGACGGUACCUGACUAAGAAGCCCCGGCUAACUACGUGCCAGCCGCGGC
rnacentral:rRNA from 1 species